UGUUAAAAGUUUUAUCCAUCUCUACUUUUAAAAGCUAAUAUGAGUAGCAAAACAAUCAAAUAGUGGCACAUGUCAUAUGCUGACAUAGAGGGACCAAUUUUUAUCUGUAGAUGGAUGGAACUUUUAACA
rfam:Gossypium raimondii Chr02_contig_52, whole genome shotgun sequence.